ensembl:lncRNA
CACAGCUGCCCUGACGGCAGCGCCACCCAGGCAGCGCUCCCACCCUGGCCCCGUGCCUCACCAGCCCUUCCUCAACCCUUUACCCCGCCGCCAUUUUGUGCAGCGCCGUGCCCACCCAGAGGCGGUGGUCUCGACGGGUGCGCUACCCCAAUCGCCGUGACGGCUGUAAUCGCGAUCCGGGCGCGGCCGCCCCUCCCCACUGACGGCAGCGGCAAUCAGCGGAAGGGCUCACGCGUGGGCCGUGCGGGCCUGCAGUGGCAGCAACGUGCGACGCUGCCGGGGACGGCAGGAGGCACCGUGGGGCGGCGGAGGCGAGGCUGCAGCAGCCCUCGACGACUGCUCGAGGAUAAGAUUGGCGUUUCCUUGGUCUGUGGUGUUACAUAUUCAUUUCAUUUCAGACCUGAAGAAGGAUUUUCAUCUCUGUCCUGCAGAAGUGCUGUGCAGCCUGGACCUGCUUCCUUUCAGCAGUUUUUGGGUCCAUCUUCCCUUCAGUGGCCUUUGGUUCGUGCUUCCUCUCAGCAGCCCUAAUAUCUGCUUCCUUUCAGCAAUUUUUUGGGUCCUGCUUCCUUUCAGUGGCCCUAAUUCUUUGCCACUGGAAAGCAGAGAAAUAAAGUGUCCAUAAAUAAUGAAGA